UCUAAAGCUCUCUUCCCUUGACCAGACCUUAUCCAAACUCCUCCUGUCGUGUUACACUCUCCAAAUGGAUGCAGGGUAACUUCCCAAGUCUUUUAACUUAGUUACCACAGUAACAAUAAAGUUACUGUGGUAAAUCUCCAAAGUUACUACCUGCUCCAAAUCCCUUCCUCUAUCCAUGUAUCAACUCUUCAUCUCCUCAUCUCAACACUUUAUUCUC
rnacentral:lncRNA from 1 species